CCAGCCUGGCCUCAAACACUGCCUCCGGAGACCCCCCCGCUCGCCGCUUGCGCUGCUUGCUGCUUCGUGCCCACGUGCGCAGUUCGCGCUGCCCGUGGCCCUUCUAGCGGCGGAUUUGUUGCUGUUUUGCAAAUGGUCACGCACUCGUGUUCACUGCAGCAUGAAAAGAACGUCUGGUAUUUGGUCCUAAGCCACGCGCAGAUGGCGAGCAGCCGUUUCAAUUGCGCACUUCUUGAGGCGUCCAAAUCGGCCUGGAAAAUAAACAGCGGCUCGCUUUCUUUUACCGAUGCGUACCUCCCCAAAUUCCUCAGCACCACCAAUAUAGAUUCGUGACGAUGCCGAGACUGUCAACACUGUAGAUGAGAGAGCCAGGUUUUAAUUACAAGUUGCUUGCUUGGACCCAGGAUCUUCAGUGUGCCAGCUCAGCACUGUGACCUUUUGAGCCACCCAACGACCCUAACUCAAUUUUAGUCAAUAAAAAUCGUAGACAUUAAUGUGUUUUUUUUCAUAUUAAAAUUCUAGUACCAAAACUAAAUAGUAUAAAAUAAUAUCACAGUGCGAUUUUAUCCACAAUACAGCAGCAGUCUGUUAAAAUUAACGUCCCAACAAAUAAACUGAAGCAUUGCACCAUGUUGUAACGAUGUAAACUUAUUGGCAUGUGAUAUUUACUGUGAAGAAACCGGUAAUAAAAGGGAGCACAUGAAGCAGACGUUGCAAUAACAACUGCGUUUCAAUAGCCUAGGUUUUAUUGGACCAUAUCUUACGAUGGAAAUCCCCAAAAAGUUUGGUGAAAAGCAGUAAAAAAUUGGAUGACGUGGUCCCAUAUUUGGCCACAUUUGUUUUAAAAGUCAAUAAAUGGCACGUUUCUGAAUUAUAUUUCUGCGGAAAUGUGUCCGAGAUUAUCUGCAAAAGCUGAAAAUACCAAAUUCCUAGCAUACAGUACCCUACGAUGCAAUUCGUCUUGGUUUUUCUGUAGCUUAAGAAUGCUAAGGUAUCUCAAGACGCCGCACAAUCGUGACAGGGCAAUACAUCACAAGGGUGCGGUGAGGAUAAAGCAGAUAUUAACACAAAAAUAUUCGGCUUUGAUGCGCUCUGUGUAUGGGUCAUAGCAAGGUACAGUACUUAUAUAAAGCAUCCAGAGAGAACACAGUUUAAAAUCAAUGUACAGAGGGCAAGUCAGAUCCAAGGACGGAAAAGUAAACGACUGUGCAAGACUGUAGGAACAGCAGAGGAGAAUGAGUGACCUCCUUUUAUGCAGAUGCACUUGAUUUGACGAAAAUGAGUCUCCCCAUCGCUAGCAUUACGAAGCAGUGUUAACCUUUUAAACAGUCUUUAUGGUGCAUAAAACAUUACAAUUACCAUUGUAAUGACAAAUGAUCACAAAAAUUGCAUACUAAAAACAAUAUCUUUAUUCAGCACAGUGCAGUAAAUUUGAGGGUUGAAGCAGUGAUGCAGUGGAUAUCCCGCAGCGCUCCGAGCUCGACUCCCCGAGUUUGAUUCCAGGCUACGGCACUGUGGCGAGAUGUUAACUCCUUCGCCUGGCAUGCAGGAGGAUAUGAGUCGUACCCAACCCUGACGCCUGGAUAGUUGGAGUUUGCACGUCUCUCUCCCUGUGGUGGUGUGGAAUUUUCUCCGGGUCGUCCGGUUUUUCCCCCCACAUUAGAAUGAACAUGCGUUUAAGAGUAUUUGGCUGUUAUACAUUUCCACGUGAUAAGCCACUUUGUUGAGCGAUAAUUUGUGGCCGGGUCGCUUCUGAAAAAGACCCAUAUAGCUCAGUGGGCCUUACCUGGUAAAAUAAAAUGUUUAGUUUCGUUGACCAACCCACACGAACCAGCCUAGUGUGGUGACGUACUCUACAGUUAAACAGCUCGCAUGGCUCACAUGGCAUGGGAAGGCCUUCAUCCAGCAGUGGAUCGACAAAGAGGUGAAAUGUAUUAUUCCUGUAUAAUGAAUCGGUCAACACAGUAUCGAGUAGUUUGUAUUAUUUUAAUGUGCAAAUACAAUUACUUGUAUUUAAAUUCCCGCUAUCUAGACGAUACUUUAAAAAUGCAAUUAAGAGUGUUGUAAUGCAAUUUGAAAGUGUUCAGUCAAAUCGUACUUAUGCUGCAGAGAACAAUUCUACAAUUUUUAAAUACUCCGAAUAAAAACUGCGUGUUGGUGCUUACAGGUGCAGUGGGUUAGUUAACUGCCCCUGUGAACUCGGCAUCCUGAAUUCUAUUGCCACUCACGGUUAACAUCGGUGGCGAGUGAUACCUGAACCGUUCCUGGACACCCCACACUUCUGCACCCCCCCCACCCCCAAACCUUCCCCCCGCUUAACCAGCCUCCACCGACCAAAGUGGUGAAGUAUUAUCACACAAACAGACUUUGUAACCCACACGGGGUAGGGAUACUUUAAUACAGCAGUGCUUUGACUACAGCGGUCACACAAUCCGAUUUAAAUACAACAUACUGUAGACUGAAUGGAAACACCUAAUACAGAUUCUUACGCGUGCUUUUCGACGCAAGUAUCAUGAGCUUAAGCAUCGAUAUUAACCGAUGAAUCGAUGCCAUUGAAUGCCAAUCUGAAUUUCCCCUGU